rnacentral:rRNA from 1 species
UACAGAGGGUGCGAGCGUUAAUCGGAAUUACUGGGCGUAAAGCGUGCGUAGACGGUUAUUUAAGUCGGGCGUGAAAUCCCUGGGCUCAACCCAGGAACUGCACUCGAAACUACUUUUCUUGAGUGCCGGAGAGGAAAGCGGAAUUCCUGGUGUAGAGGUGAAAUUCGUAGAUAUCAGGAGGAACACCAGUGGCGAAGGCGGCUUUCUGGACGGUAACUGACGCUGAGACGCGAAAGCGUGGGGAGCAAACAGG